GAAAUAUACAAUUUCAGAAAUUCUGAGAUUCAGCUACUAAUCAAAACUUUCCCAAUUGCCAAGACAAUUUGAAGUCUACUUUUCAGGGAAAAUACAUACAUGCAUAAAUUUUAGUCUGGAGUCAGAAGUUUGGUCCACAUCCUGCAAUCAACAUAGCUUUCCACAGUCUAUGUGAAAAUUAGUUUGCUGUUAAAUGGACUAAUUUUUUUAGUGCUUUCAGUCUUUUUCCAAAUAUAUAUACAUGUACAGCUGAGACCAGGGCAAGGAUAACGUGGCUUGGUUGUUAUGUGUGUUCUACCACAAUAUCAAUCUUAAUUAGCAUUUGACUGUCACAGGUGACAGCCUAGUUUAUUAAGGUAAGUCAUUUUACCUGCACAAGCCACUCUGUAAAGUAUGACAGGUUAGUUGCUGCCUCAUUUGCAGUUGCAAAGUCCCAGCUGAGACAUUCAUUCACUGAGAGAAUGGUGGGUGAAUAAGUAGGAUUAAGAGCCACUAGAGUCAUCCCAGGGGAAGCAGCUGUCACUCUGGAACAGAACCCUUGGCUUGUUUGAAGUAUAUACAUACAUUUAUAUAUACAUUUACUUUAGGCUGCUGUAGUAAUUUAUCUUAGCUACAAUUCAGAGACCUAAGAUGCUCAAGGGUUCAUUAACCUCAGUGGGAUAACAGACCCAUUAACAGGCUCAUCUAUGGAUUAAUCAUUCAAGGCUUAUGGAGACCUACGUUCAUCCACUGUAGAGAACAUAGUGGUGAAGAGUCAAUCUGAACAACCAGUGCAGAAUGUUGACCUGAGAGAUUUAAGGCUGUUCUUUCAUCUGAGCUGCCAGGCUGAAGCAACAGCUGAGAAGAGAAGUCUCCUAGGAGGAAAAACACUACCAAAUAGCUUGGCUAAUUCUGCCACUUCAAAAGCUUUAAAAACUUCCUUACCUGAGGGAGCACUGGAUUUUAUAAGUAAUCUAGUUUUAGGAAGUGUGGCUCUGUGAGAAAGGGCCUCAUUAUGCCAUGUGCUGAGUAGGAGGCAAAGCUCCUGUCUAGC
rnacentral:lncRNA from 1 species